rnacentral:tRNA from 1 species
GUCCGUAUGGUGGUAUUGGCAGUACGCAUGACACUUAAAAUGUCACAGACUUCGGUCUUGUGGGUUCGACUCCCACUACGGAUACCA